rnacentral:tRNA from 1 species
AAGUCUUUAGUUGAAUAACAAUAGGAAAUUGCAAGUUUUCAGGUAUCGGACUUU